GGUCCUAUAGUGUAGUCGGUUAGCACAUGGGUUUUUGAAACAAAAAAUACCUGGGACCUGAGUUCGAGUCUCAGUAGGACCU
rfam:Glarea lozoyensis ATCC 20868 chromosome Tnknown GLAREA10, whole genome shotgun sequence.